GAAUCAGACCCCUCCCAACAAAAAGCCCUAAUUCCCUUCCUCUAUCAUCAACUCCAAAUACCUCUCCUCAAAUAUAGCCGCCGCCGGACCUCUCUCUCCAAAAACCUUCAUCGGCCGACCCUCCAUCCUCUCAAGAGAGAACCAAACAGAUCCCUCCCCGUUCUUCAACCUAGCAGUUAACAAAAGAACUUUCAGAUCUUGAAAAAAAAAGAAAAAAAGAUUUCAGUUUGUUGGCUCGUGGUUUUCUGGGAUUUCAAGAGUGUUUAAACUCUCCAAAA
rnacentral:lncRNA from 1 species